UACGUAGGGGGCGAGCGUUAUCCGGAUUUAUUGGGCGUAAAGCGUGUGUAGGCGGUUUACUAAGUCUAAAAUUAAAGCCUGGGGCUUAACCCCAGUUCGUUUUAGAAACUGGUAGACUAGAGUGUGGUAGAGGCAAAUGGAAUUUCUAGUGUAGCGGUUAAAUGCGUAGAUAUUAGAAGGAACACCAGUGGCGAAGGCGGUUUGCUGGGCCAUUGCUGACGCUGAGACACGAAGGCGCGGGGAGCAAAUA
rnacentral:rRNA from 1 species